GGUAAAGAAAAGACACUGCAGAUCAACUACCUGAGUAAUCGCUUCCUUCAGAGAGGUGGAAACACCAGACUUUGGAAUCUGAGCAGUGCAAGUGCCUGGAAAGACUCUGAAAAUACGAUAUCCCUCUGGAAAAACUAGGAGACUACACAGCAAGAUGGCUUGUUUACUUGCUGUUGUCUUUGGUGGAUUGAAGCUGUGUGGCCUUGUCCUUGUUCCAGGAAAUGCAUGGACAUAGCUGUCUGAAGGAAAACCCUCAUGAUUGUAUAGUUUUCAGUGCUGAGUGGCAUUUAGCCACCUCGUUUUUAUUGUUCGCAGAUCACAA